rnacentral:rRNA from 1 species
UACGUAGGGUGCAAGCGUUGUCCGGAAUUAUUGGGCGUAAAGAGCUCGUAGGCGGCUCGGUAAGUCAGGUGUGAAAACUCUAGGCUCAACCUAGAGACGCCACCUGAUACUGCUGUGGCUAGAGUCCGGUAGGGGAGCAUGGAAUUCCUGGUGUAGCGGUGAAAUGCGCAGAUAUCAGGAGGAACACCAGUGGCGAAGGCGGUGCUCUGGGCCGGAACUGACGCUGAGGAGCGAAAGCGUGGGGAGCAAACAGG